GACGAACGCUGGUGGCGUGCUUAACACAUGCAAGUCGAACGGAAAGGCCCUGCUUUUGUGGGGUGCUCGAGUGGCGAACGGGUGAGUAACACGUGAGUAACCUGCCCUUGACUUUGGGAUAACUUCAGGAAACUGGGGCUAAUACCGGAUAGGAGCUCCUGCUGCAUGGUGGGGGUUGGAAAGUUUCGGCGGUUGGGGAUGGACUCGCGGCUUAUCAGCUUGUUGGUGGGGUAGUGGCUUACCAAGGCUUUGACGGGUAGCCGGCCUGAGAGGGUGACCGGCCACAUUGGGACUGAGAUACGGCCCAGACUCCUACGGGAGGCAGCAGUGGGGAAUAUUGCACAAUGGGCGGAAGCCUGAUGCAGCAACGCCGCGUGCGGGAUGACGGCCUUCGGGUUGUAAACCGCUUUCGCCUGUGACGAAGCGUGAGUGACGGUAAUGGGUAAAGAAGCACCGGCUAACUACGUGCCAGCAGCCGCGGUGAUACGUAGGGUGCGAGCGUUGUCCGGAUUUAUUGGGCGUAAAGGGCUCGUAGGUGGUUGAUCGCGUCGGAAGUGUAAUCUUGGGGCUUAACCCUGAGCGUGCUUUCGAUACGGGUUGACUUGAGGAAGGUAGGGGAGAAUGGAAUUCCUGGUGGAGCGGUGGAAUGCGCAGAUAUCAGGAGGAACACCAGUGGCGAAGGCGGUUCUCUGGGCCUUUCCUGACGCUGAGGAGCGAAAGCGUGGGGAGCGAACAGGCUUAGAUACCCUGGUAGUCCACGCUGUAAACGGUGGGUACUAGGUGUGGGGUCCAUUCCACGGGUUCCGUGCCGUAGCUAACGCUUUAAGUACCCCGCCUGGGGAGUACGGCCGCAAGGCUAAAACUCAAAGGAAUUGACGGGGCCCCGCACAAGCGGCGGAGCAUGCGGAUUAAUUCGAUGCAACGCGUAGAACCUUACCUGGGUUUGACAUGGAUCGGGAGCGCUCAGAGAUGGGUGUGCCUCUUUUGGGGUCGGUUCACAGGUGGUGCAUGGCUGUCGUCAGCUCGUGUCGUGAGAUGUUGGGUUAAGUCCCGCAACGAGCGCAACCCUUGUUCACUGUUGCCAGCACGUUAUGGUGGGGACUCAGUGGAGACCGCCGGGGUCAACUCGGAGGAAGGUGGGGAUGACGUCAAGUCAUCAUGCCCCUUAUGUCCAGGGCUUCACGCAUGCUACAAUGGCUGGUACAGAGAGUGGCGAGCCUGUGAGGGUGAGCGAAUCUCGGAAAGCCGGUCUCAGUUCGGAUUGGGGUCUGCAACUCGACCUCGUGAAGUCGGAGUCGCUAGUAAUCGCAGAUCAGCAACGCUGCGGUGAAUACGUUCCCGGGGCU
rnacentral:rRNA from 1 species